rnacentral:rRNA from 1 species
AUCUGAACCUUCGGGGAACGAUAACGGCGUCGAGCGGCGGACGGGUGAGUAAUGCCUAGGAAAUUGCCCUGAUGUGGGGGAUAACCAUUGGAAACGAUGGCUAAUACCGCAUGAUGCCUACGGGCCAAAGAGGGGGACCUUCGGGCCUCUCGCGUCAGGAUAUGCCUAGGUGGGAUUAGCUAGUUGGUGAGGUAAGGGCUCACCAAGGCGACGAUCCCUAGCUGGUCUGAGAGGAUGAUCAGCCACACUGGAACUGAGACACGGUCCAGACUCCUACGGGAGGCAGCAGUGGGGAAUAUUGCACAAUGGGCGCAAGCCUGAUGCAGCCAUGCCGCGUGUAUGAAGAAGGCCUUCGGGUUGUAAAGUACUUUCAGUCGUGAGGAAGGUUCAUGCGUUAAUAGCGUAUGGAUUUGACGUUAGCGACAGAAGAAGCACCGGCUAACUCCGUGCCAGCAGCCGCGGUAAUACGGAGGGUGCGAGCGUUAAUCGGAAUUACUGGGCGUAAAGCGCAUGCAGGUGGUUUGUUAAGUCAGAUGUGAAAGCCCGGGGCUCAACCUCGGAAUAGCAUUUGAAACUGGCAGACUAGAGUACUGUAGAGGGGGGUAGAAUUUCAGGUGUAGCGGUGAAAUGCGUAGAGAUCUGAAGGAAUACCG